rnacentral:rRNA from 1 species
UGAUGGCAGAGAGGUCACACCCGUUCCCAUACCGAACACGGAAGUUAAGCUCUCUAGCGCCGAUGGUAGUUGGGACCUUGUCCCUGUGAGAAGCAGGGGGUCGGCGGU